rnacentral:rRNA from 1 species
GACGAACGCUGGCGGCGUGCCUAAUACAUGCAAGUCGAACGCACAGUUUAUACCGUAGCUUGCUACACCAUAGACUGUGAGUUGCGAACGGGUGAGUAACGCGUAGGUAACCUGCCUGGUAGCGGGGGAUAACUAUUGGAAACGAUAGCUAAUACCGCAUAAUAUUAAUUAUUGCAUGAUAAUUAAUUGAAAGGUGCAAUUGCACCACUACCAGAUGGACCUGCGUUGUAUUAGCUAGUAGGUGAGGUAACGGCUCACCUAGGCGACGAUACAUAGCCGACCUGAGAGGGUGAUCGGCCACACUGGGACUGAGACACGGCCCAGACUCCUACGGGAGGCAGCAGUAGGGAAUCUUCGGCAAUGGACGAAAGUCUGACCGAGCAACGCCGCGUGAGUGAAGAAGGUCUUCGGAUCGUAAAGCUCUGUUGUAAGAGAAGAACGGGUGUGAGAGUGGAAAGUUCACACUGUGACGGUAUCUUACCAGAAAGAGACGGCUAACUACGUG